AACGCACAUUGCGCCCUCUGGUAUUCCGGGGGGCAUGCCUGUUCGAGCGUCGUCGCACCUCACGAGCCCGGCUCGGUGUUGGGGCCGUCGCCGUCCCCCGCGGACGGCGCCCCCGAAAAAUAGCGGCGGCGCAGCCCGACCUGGAGCGCAUUGAUGAAAUCGCUGCCAUGGUCGCGGUUGCUCCGGCCGAUCAAACGCGCGGCAUCCCCUCCGGGGGACGCCCGCCUCGCACGGUUUGACCUCGGAUCAGGUAGGGAUACCCGCUGAACUUAA
rnacentral:misc_RNA from 1 species